UACAGAGGUCUCAAGCGUUGUUCGGAUUCAUUGGGCGUAAAGGGUGCGUAGGUGGCGCCAUAAGUCAGGUGUGAAAUCUCGGGGCUCAACCCCGAAACUGCACUUGAUACUGUGGUGCUCGAGUACUGGAGAGGAGAUUGGAAUUUACGGUGUAGCAGUGAAAUGCGUAGAUAUCGGGAGGAACACCGGUGGCGAAGGCGGUUCUCUGGGCCUUACCUGACGCUGAGGAGCGAAAGCGUGGGGAGCGAACAGG
rnacentral:rRNA from 1 species